UCCGCGCCUUAUCCUCUUUGUCAUCGUCGAGCUGGCUAGCUAGGAGUGUCCAAAUUUUCGGCGACUCCUUCUGAUCUGAUCUUCUCUUUUUGCGAAUUCUUCUGAUCUGAUCUCCCUUGUGAGGAUAGAUGGGUGGAGCACGAGUUGUCCCCUCGGCAGCUCAUCUCUAAUCCAUGUUGCCGUGUGCUAACUAUGUACGUAUCAAAUUACGUAUUCCAUUCGGUUCUGAAUUGAUUGGCGCAACAUCUAUAAAAUGUAAAAAUUGACGCAACCUAGAUACAAUGUCGCCUCUACACAAUGUCUUUCGGAGCGGAGGGAGCAGUGAGAGUACAUAAGGUUGUGCCCGCGUUGCAAUGUCAUGUGAUUUGCUGUCGUGGUUAUCUUCAAGGCAAGGCAAAUCACUUCUCGUGACUUGAGGAAAUAACCAAUCCGAAAGUAUCUUUAUUAAAUGUCGUUUGGAUCCAUAGACUUGUUGGCCAAGAUUGAGGGGAGGAAGACUUUGCCCUAAUCGCCUUGUGUGUGGAGAAAGAAAGACACAGCCAUGUUGCUUUCGGAAUGGUAAUGGGGGAGUAGCUCUAAUGAACUCUACCGCUUUAAUAAUAGUUUCAUUUCAUAGCUCAAAUGGUAAUUUUGUGAUUAAAGUGAUUUUUCUGCACAAAAGUUAUGUCAAUGUAGAACAGAAAUUGGGUUGAGCCCUAGCCACUGUUGAUCAUGAUGGAACAAUACCACAUUGAAACAACGAAGAUCGUGACAUAUGCAAUCAUCCACAAUGCAGUCGUGCGCUUAUGGUAACCAGGAAAUCCAGUUCUUCCCACGACAUCCUUCUUUAAGAUGAAGUUAUCAUCAUAGGACCGGAUGCCAUUGUAAGGCAAUCAAAGACAUUUUUUGCAUCCGAAAGUGCCCGUAGGGCAUCAAAGGAAAAGUAGUCGCAUCAACGUCAAAUGCCCCCGUGUCCUAUUCCGAUUCAGCACUAGCGCUUGAUUACCCUUAAUUGAUGCCAAGAAAUUGAGAACAUGCUCUUCCGCACAGUAUGCAAGGACCGCCUGGAUCAUAGUUGUUUCAUUCGCAUAAUCCUCCUAGUAGGAUGAGUCGUCGGAUGACUCAAAAUAGUGGGCAUACAUCUACUCCAUGUACGAAUCAUUGCUUUAAAGAAGGACAAAAAAAUUAGCACGAACAUUUCACCAAACAUUUGUCGGACAUGGUGACCCCGACGGAAGGCAUCCACGGGGGUGGAUGGUACCUACGCGGCGGACAGACGAGAGGUGUAGAAUGACAACGUAGGCAAAAGCGUCACGGCGACAGGCUGGAGCGGCGAAGGUCGCGGAUGUACCGGAAGGGCUUCGCGGGCGAUUAGGGUGGUACAACGGCGGCGGCGGCGAGGGAGUAAGCGGAUGCAAAGAAAGAGAAAAGGGAUGCAGAUGCAGGGGGUCUAGGGUAUGGUUUUGGGUGAGCCGAGAGUGUCAGAGUCCUAUGUGACGGAGGUCCGAACUCACACAAAGCCCGCUUGUUUCCUUUAAGUUUGCAGAAAAAUGGACAAACGAACUGGUCCGUGAACCGAUGCGAGACGCGGGGCGGUGGUGAAUGUUGGCUGCAUGUCAAUAUUUUCGUGGCGGCGUGCGUUGUUGUGUCGCACAUAAACUGUUUAUCAAAAUGUCCCACUAUAAAAAGGCCAAUUUAAGAGACGUGAGCGUGGACGCGCGCAAACGAGGGCUCCAAGCGGAUGCGCCCGGACACUGACCGAGCGCGCGUCCGCGAAGCCGUAGAUGCUCUUAUAAGGCAAUUGUUGGAGAUGCACUAGAGGAAGUAAUUGUAAGGAUACCACUACAACGUUUGCACCACUACAACUUUUGCAGAGAGCAGAGCAUCCAUGAUAAACGAGCCCCGUCAACUGGAGCAAAGUCAUAGACGUCAGCGCGGCGCUCCGUGUGACCUCGCGGUGGCCACGUGUCAUCAGCUGAUCAGAGUCAUGGCAUAGGAGUGGCCGGCGAUGGCCGCCAUGGGCACAAUCCAGGAUGGGCUCGCCGUGUUUGCUAGCUCUGGGUGCCGAGGGACAGUGCCCUAGCGGUGCGCGCUGGCUUCGGUUGCCAAGGGGCAGCGGCACGAUAGUGCGCGACGGCGUGCGGUGCGCGUGCGCGCCUGGCCUGGUCGAUGACGGCUUCGCGCGCGGCACCGGCUGCUCCAAGUAGCUCGCCUGCAGCAAUGGCGCCGGACAAGCCGGUGACUGUUUCCAAGGAAGGUCCGGUAACGACACCCCUAUCGACGUCGCCCACAUUAGCGGCACGGUCCAGGCCGGCGUGCUCGACGACGGUGCUCGUCUCAGCAGGCGCUGCUGCUCGGCGGUGCAGGUCAAUGACGGUGAGUCUUCUUGGGGUGAGGCCGUGCUCCCUGUCCGGCCCCAGACCUUCAGCCAUGCUGCCCCCUCUACUGGGUCGUCGUCACUGCUGUUACCGCACUGCCCACAUGGUGUUCGACAGAUUGUCUCACAUGUUUAUUUCAAAGUGUUGGUGUCUUUCACUCUUUCUUCGCCGUAAAUGCUGACUGAUGCAGCACUGUUGCUGAUUGCCUGCGCUAAAAAGUUGAAACACAAAUUGAGCGCCCCCUCCCACCUGAGCUUCCAGCAGCAUCCUCUUCGCCGUGGUGUCAAUGAAGGUAAGGUUAAUAUAUAGACCAUCCACCAUAUCUUAUAGGCCACUGAUUUUUGCAUCUGAAGGUGUCCAUCACAUGGAGAAUUUUCUUGUGCUCUCAUGUAUAUCAGGUUCAUUUUGGGCCAAUGGUUGAAAGAUAUUAUUUGAAAUGUUCCUUGGUUCGUCGGCAAGGCGCACACACUAUGUUCGAUGACGACCCUGCUCCCGACUUGCUGUGCACACCUUGCUUGUAGGAGAUCACCCUUUAUGUCUAAUCGUUUAAUUCUUUUCCUGGAAGUUCCUAUGCUGGCUAAGUGGCGAGGUGCAUUCACAUUGGGAAGUUAUAUUGAUCAAGUGGAAGAAAAUGAAGUAGCAGGCUCUGAUCCUCACUGCUUAGCUUUUCUAGAGAGGAUCAAAAGAUCUUUUGUUUUGGAGCAUUUGUGUAUUUGAUGAAACCCUGAACUGCAGACCCAAUCCUGAGCUUUAUUUUCAGUUUAGCAGUGGCCGUGUACGGUAAUGUUGCUUCUUUGAAAAGAUAUGGACAGUAGAGUGUUAAGGAAUUUUUUGCUUUGAGAGAACACAAAGAGAAGAAGGGGAUACAAACAGAAGUUUGCUGGCCUGGUACAGUAUUUAACUUGUUGGUUGGUGUUGUUUUUUUAUAAUCAACUUACAUGCAGGAUUACUUUUUUUUUCUCUGGAAAGGCUUCCACCUAAAUAUAUUUCAAUUUUUUUGACUUUGUUACAAAGGCACACAGGGGAUCAGGCAUAGCGUGAGGAGAUGAAAUCACGCCACAGACCGGCGUGCUCCAUUAGAUCGCUUGAUUUCAACCUAUGCGACCAUGAGGUCAAAUCAGCGACGAUGUUUCGCAGUGUCAGCCGGCUGCCUUUCAGUUUAAUAGCACCAUAUUUAAUCAGCGACGAUGUUUCGCAGUGUCAGCCGGCUGCCUUUCAGUUUAAUAGCACCAUAUUCUAUCUUAGGUUUUUUUUCUGUUACAUUUAGCAUUUCAACUUGACAAUAAGUAUUGUCGAGACAAAGGCUUGAUAAAUAUUUGUUUCUGUGUUGGCAUUUGGUAGGAAUUUAAACAGUACCUACGGCCUAAUAAAGAAAAGAUGCAUGAAGCAAGAGAGAAGAUGACUUUCCUAGACACAUUAUCACUUGUAUUUACAAAAAUGCAGUUUGCCUAUUUGCUUCUUCAGUGCUGGGCAUGCUAUUCCAGACUUUGUGCCCCUCAGAACCAGGUGUAGCACUUCGACAGUUCCUCUUUAAAAUGCUGUUGGAACUUUUUUGAAUGAUAUGAGCUUGUGGCAUGUGUUUAUUACCACAUUUCUCAAUAUUAGCAUUAUUCUUCUAUACUGUUUGUGUUGUGAAUGUAUGGCUGAAAAAAUAUGGUUAUCGUUAUGCAAAUUUGAUAUGUUUCAUGUGGCCAUAUAUUUACGAAAACUCCCAUCAUUCCAUCAAUAAUCUAGUACAUAUAUCACUGUUUCUUAUGUAAUUCAUACCCUUUAUACUACAAACCUUGGUUUGUCCAAUUUUGCUUCAGAUCCAGGUGUAGCACUUUAGCAGUUCCUCUUUCGGGCACUUCUUUGAAUGGCAUGACUCAUACAUGUAGUUUCUGGCCUGUGUUUAUUGCCACAUUUUUUUAAUAUUAGCAUUAUUCCACUAUACUGUUUCUGAUAUGAAUGCAUGACUGAAAAAUGCAUAUGGUUGUCGUUAUGCAACUUCGAUAUGUUUCGUGUGGUCAUAUAUUGAACAAAACUCCUAUUAUCUUAUCACUAGUUUAUCGUUGUUUCUUAUGUAAUAAAUCCUAUGGUUUCUGCUACAAACCUUUGGCUUGCCCAAACCAGUAUGAAGGCACGAUGGCUGUGCGGCGUCUGCCUCCCGGGAGCUCGUGGCUGCGGGGAGCCUCAACUGCCCACUUGGAAAGAGAGACAGGCAGCGCGUCGGAAUAGUAUGCUUGAAAAAUGGAACCUUGAACCGGACCAAACAGGAAGCAGAGAGGGAGAAGAGGAAGAAGCCGGAGGCGAAAGGGAUAGGUGGGCAGGGCCGCAGAGAGAGCAAUCCCCAAAAGCUACCCUCUUCGUUCUCCUCCACAGAACUCGAUUGCCAGGCAUCUUUACUCUGUGCUGCACCUCUUUCUCCCGUGGACUUGGCCCAUGGACCAUGCUUGUAGCAAUUUUAUUUUCUUUUCUUUUUUAACCUAUGAUAUUAGUAGCAGUGUUGAGAAUACGGAUCUCGCGAGAAUAAUGUGCUCGGUUUUCUACGAGUCGAACCGACUCGCUGCGCCUUGGGCCAUAGAAAAUUAGAAACCAAUGAGAAUAACUUCCUUUCCCUUUCCUAA